rnacentral:rRNA from 1 species
ACGAACGCUGGCGGCACGCUUAACACAUGCAAGUCGAACGAGAGAAGAGAAGCUUGCUUUUCUGAUCUAGUGGCGGACGGGUGAGUAACACGUGAGCAAUCUGCCUUUCAGAGGGGGAUACCGAUUGGAAACGAUCGUUAAUACCGCAUAAUAUAAUUGAACCGCAUGAUUUGAUUAUCAAAGAUUUAUCGCUGAAAGAUGAGCUCGCGUCUGAUUAGCUAGUUGGUAAGGUAACGGCUUACCAAGGCGACGAUCAGUAGCCGGACUGAGAGGUUGAUCGGCCACAUUGGGACUGAGACACGGCCCAGACUCCUACGGGAGGCAGCAGUGGGGAAUAUUGCACAAUGGAGGAAACUCUGAUGCAGCGAUGCCGCGUGAGGGAAGAAGGUUUUAGGAUUGUAAACCUCUGUCUUCAGGGACGAAAAAAGACGGUACCUGAGGAGGAAGCUCCGGCUAACUACGUGCCAGCAGCCGCGGUAAUACGUAGGGAGCGAGCGUUGUCCGGAAUUACUGGGUGUAAAGGGAGCGUAGGCGGGAUCGCAAGUCAGAUGUGAAAACUAUGGGCUUAACCCAUAAACUGCAUUUGAAACUGUGGUUCUUGAGUGAAGUAGAGGUAAGCGGAAUUCCUAGUGUAGCGGUGAAAUGCGUAGAUAUUAGGAGGAACAUCAGUGGCGAAGGCGGCUUACUGGGCUUUAACUGACGCUGAGGCUCGAAAGCGUGGGGAGCAAACAGGAUUAGAUACCCUGGUAGUCCACGCCGUAAACGAUGAUUACUAGGUGUGGGGGGACUGACCCCUUCCGUGCCGCAGCAAACGCAAUAAGUAAUCCACCUGGGGAGUACGACCGCAAGGUUGAAACCCAAAGGAAUUGACGGGGGCCCGCACAAGCAGUGGAGUAUGUGGAUUAAUUCGAAGCAACGCGAAGAACCUUACCAGGUCUUGACAUCGUAUGCAUAGCUCAGAGAUGAGUGAAAUCUCUUCGGAGACAUAUUGACAGGUGGUGCAUGGUUGUCGUCAGCUCGUGUCGUGAGAUGUUGGGUUAAGUCCCGCAACGAGCGCAACCCUUACUGUUAGUUGCUACGCAAGAGCACUCUAGCAGGACUGCCGUUGACAAAACGGAGGAAGGUGGGGAUGACGUCAAAUCAUCAUGCCCCUUAUGACCUGGGCCUCACACGUACUACAAUGGCUGUUAACAGAGGGAUGCAAAGCCGCGAGGUGGAGCGAACCCCUAAAAGCAGUCUUAGUUCGGAUUGUAGGCUGCAACCCGCCUACAUGAAGUCGGAAUUGCUAGUAAUCGCAGAUCAGCAUGCUGCGGUGAAUACGUUCCCGGGCCUUGUACACACCGCCCGUCACGCCAUGGGAGUCGGUAACACCCGAAGCCUGUAGUCUAACCGCAAGGAGGACGCAGUCGAAGGUGGGAUUGAUGACUGGGGUG